UGGACUCAUGAAGAAUAGAGAACAGGAGGACGAACUCCGUAAGCUAAAAAUGUGUAUAAAAAUCGACUCGUGAAUUAGUUUUAAAAUUUAUACAAAGAGGGCGAAAUAGCGCUCUUGGACCACCCAACUGACAGCUGUGAGCUGAGUGUGUGUCGUUGUUUAUCAAUGUUUAUUAUUAUUAACUAAUAAAUAAAGUGAUCAUUUUUAUUAUUUAUUAUUUUUUUACACAAUAAUAAAUAAAAAUAAUAAUAUUCAUAAUAAAAAAAUUAAUAAUAAAUUGUCAACAACAUAAAAUUGAUUAGUUAUUACUCUUUAGAUUACUCCAAUGUAAACAAUCUUGUUGUAUAAUGAAGAUAAAAUAAGUAUGGCUACUAAAAUAGUACUCGGCUAUUGACAUAUAUAAAAAAUAAACUUUAAAAAUGUUCUUAAACUAUAACAAUAUCAACAAAUUUAUUAUAUUUAAGAUGCUGAUUUGUUAAUAUUGGAGUCAACAUUUUUUCAAAGCACUUAUGAAUUGAAAUAUACAAAAAAUUAAUUCUAAAAAUAACGAACAUGUUUAUACGAGUAUUGUA
rnacentral:lncRNA from 1 species